rnacentral:rRNA from 1 species
GUGAGGAAUAUUGGGCAAUGCCCGAAAGGGUGACCCAGCAACGCCGCGUGGAGGAUGAAGGUCGUAAGAUUGUAAACUCCUGUUAGAGGGGAAGAAUAACUAAGUUUGGAGCUUAGUAUGACUGUACCCUCAGAGAAAGCCCCGGCUAACUACGUGCCAGCAGCCGCGGUAAUACGUAGGGGGCAAGCGUUGUCCGGAUUUACUGGGUGUAAAGGGCGCGCAGGCGGAAUGGAAAGUCAGUGGUGAAAUCCUACAGCUUAACUGUAGAACUGCCUUUGAUACUUUCAUUCUUGAGUUCGGGAGAGAGAGGCGGAAUUCCAGGUGUAGUGGUGAAAUACGUAGAUAUCUGGAAGAACACCAGUUGCGAAGGCGGUCUCUUGGUCCGAUACUGACGCUGAGGCGCGAAAGCGUGGGGAGCAAACA